rnacentral:rRNA from 1 species
UACGAAGGGGGCUAGCGUUGUUCGGAAUUACUGGGCGUAAAGGGCGCGUAGGCGGUACUUCAAGUCAGGCGUGAAAGCCCCGGGCUCAACCUGGGAACCGCGCUUGAGACUGGAGAACUAGAGUUCGGGAGAGGAUGGUGGAAUUCCCAGUGUAGAGGUGAAAUUCGUAGAUAUUGGGAAGAACACCGAUGGCGAAGGCAGCCAUCUGGGCCGACACUGACGCUGAGGCGCGAAAGCGUGGGGAGCAAACAGG